UACGUAGGGGGCAAGCGUUGUCCGGAAUCAUUGGGCGUAAAGAGCGUGUAGGCGGCCCGGUAAGUCCGCUGUGAAAGUCCAGGGUUCAACCCUGGAAUGCCGGUGGAAACUGUCGGGCUAGAGUCCGGAAGAGGCGAGUGGAAUUCCUGGUGUAGCGGUGAAAUGCGUAGAUAUCGAGAGGAACACCUGCGGCGAAGGCGGGUUGCUGGGCUGACACUGACGCUGAAGCGCGAAAGCUAGGGGAGCGAACGGG
rnacentral:rRNA from 1 species